rnacentral:hammerhead_ribozyme from 1 species
ACACUGCUGACGAGUCCCACACUGGACGAAACAGCUGUCCAGUGC